rnacentral:tRNA from 1 species
GCCUUCGUGGUGUAAAGGUCAGCACACUGAGCCGGUAAUUCAGAGGUCCGCGGUUCGAUCCCCGGCGAAGGCG